rnacentral:rRNA from 1 species
UACGAAGGGGGCUAGCGUUGCUCGGAAUUACUGGGCGUAAAGCGCACGUAGGCGGCUUUCUAAGUCGGGGGUGAAAUCCUGGAGCUCAACUCCAGAACUGCCUUCGAUACUGGAAAGCUCGAGUCCGGGAGAGGUGAGUGGAACUGCGAGUGUAGAGGUGAAAUUCGUAGAUAUUCGCAAGAACACCAGUGGUGAAGGCGGCUCACUGGCCCGGUACUGACGCUGAGGUGCGAAAGCGUGGGGAGCAAACAGG